rnacentral:rRNA from 1 species
UAGCGUUUUCUAAAAUUGCUGCGGCGACAAAGCUCGUAGUUGGAUUUCUAGAUGAGAAGAGUGGCCCACUCUAUGAGUGCGUAUCUACUUCUGCUCGUCGUCCCGCUCUGCAAACGUGUCUGCGCUUGACUGCGUGGCGCGGUGGUCGGGCCCUUUACUUUGAGGGAAUUAGAGUGCUCACGGCAGGCAAUCGCCUUGAAUAUAUUAGCAUGGAAUAAUAACAUAGGAUCGUGGUCCUAUGUUGUUGCUUCCCAGGGCUAAGAUAAUGAUUAAUAGGGGCAAUUGGGGGCAUUCGUAUCGCGGUGCC